rnacentral:rRNA from 1 species
AUGGAGAUCGAAUCCAGCACGAAGUAUUGCAGAGUUAAGGGAGAACCAUCCGAGGAGGACCGGCUGAGUGGCCUCCCUGACGACAACCUCCACUCGAUCGUCGGUCGGGUCCCCCUCAAACAAGCCGUCCGCACCAGUGCCCUCUCCACGAUCCCGGGCCAUCCCUCAUCCUCGGCUGGCGGGAUGACGACUCCAACAGCACUGAGGGUCGGGGCGGAAGGAGUGCUUGGACAGUUUCUGAGCCUGGAGAGCUGCCACCUUCUCGUGUCGAUGAGGGUCACCGGCGAGAGGCUGCUGGGCCUGGAGAUCGUGCGAUGCCUGGCCAUGCGCCACCUGCAGGUGGCCGCGCCCGUGCUGGAGUCCGUCGUCUACCACGGCAACAUCCUCCUCAUCUGGAGAGAGGACGAGCCGUCCGGCGUGGAGUUCGUUGGCCCGAGCGGCAGGAUUGAUGCCAGGCCGGAGCUAAAGGACGCGUACGUGACCCACAUCGGCUACGGCGAAUACGACGAAGUAAUUCACGAGUUCGCCUACUCAGGCUUCUUGGAUCAGGUCGCGCAUGCCAAUCUUUUGACGCUUUGUUCCGUGGGCAUGCUGGGCGACAUGGAUGCCCCAAACCUGGAAGAGCUGCAACUGCUAAUGGACUCCAUCUCCAUGGGCGACGACGAUGUUACUCGCUUCUCCAGAUUCUUAGAGCUCGUCAUGGCGCCGCUCCUCGAGCGCCUCCUUAUCCGGUUCCCAGACGCGUGCGGCGGCACGGCGGUGACCGGCGAGGGCGCGGAUAUCAUUCUCGAGUGCGAGAUCGCUCUCGACCACCUGACGUUCCUCAAGGCGAGGAACUUCCGAGGGACGAUGCGCGAGCUGCGGCUGCUAAGGUUCGUCAUGCACAGGGCUCCUGUCCUCGAGCAGCUGGUGCUCGUCAGCCCGGAAGACAUGGGAACUCCGGGGGACCAUGACCAGCAGGAGAGCGUCUGGCCGCUACUUAAGGUCGUCCAAGAGCACGUGUCAGAGAUCAGCAAGGCUUGGCUCUGGCAGGAGCCCCACGUCACCGUGUGCCAGCCGAGGGAGGAUGACAGUCGGGCCCUGCACACACCAAGUACUACCACCAUGAUCAAGCAUAGUUCAACCAGAGCUAUUUUUUUUGCCAGGAACUAG